GCGACAACCGCGGAGGUGUGCCGUGUCCCCGAGCUGCCGCCGACCACCGCGGACGUGUUCCGUGUCCCCGAGCCGCCGCCGACAACCGCGGACGUGUUCCGUGUCCCCGAGCUGCUGCUGCCGCCGCCGCCGACCCCGGAGGUUUCCAGUGUCUCUGAGCCACCCAUUCCAGAGACGUUCCGUGCCCUGCAGUCGCCGCUCCGGAGCCGGCCUGGUGACCGUCCGCCGGGCCACCCGCCAGAGGCUCCCCACUCGUCUGGCCGCCCGCCGGGCCAUCCGCCAGAGUUUCCCGGGUGGUCUGACCAACGUCUCGGGUUUCCCUCCCUCCCACCCCUUUUCCGCUCUAGUGUGAGCCGUCUGGAAUUCGGCCCUUGAGGGGGGGGUACUGUCACGGUGAUCCCAUGGAAGCACAUUUGACAGUGGACAGAGGUGGAGGUCUAUGUCACGGUGUGGUUCACUUCCUGUUGUAUUUUGUAGUUUUCUGCCACUCGUGUCCCCGGGUAACUUCACUUCCUGCCUUGUCAUGUCAUCCCCUGUGAUCGUCUAAUAGUUUCCACCUGUGUCCAAUCACCUGCACCUCCCUAGUGUAUUUAAGCCAUGUGUGUCUGUUGUCACUUGUGGCGUCAUUGUCUUUCGCCACGCAUGUCCUUGUCUCUCGUCGUUCGCAGUUCCUGUCUCCCGUUUGGGCCCUUGGCCUUUGCUUUAACCUUUUUGAAAAGUCCCUUUUGUUUUUGAGCUCUGCGUCUGAGUCCUACCUCCCCCGCAAUCCCUGACAGUCUAGAAGGAGGAAUUGUUCCAGAGAUAUUCACUGUUACAUUUUUUUACACUUUUAGUGUAUUGUAAACUGCUGUAGCCCAAAACGACAGUAAACACGGCUAAAUGCUCUCUCAUAUCCUUAAACAUCAGUGUAGCGGCCGUCUGCCACUUCCUGUGUGUGAUUGUUGGUACUUUUAUUUUGAAAUGUAAUUAGCAUCAGAGUCACGUGGGCAGGUGUGCAGUAGUUUAUGAGUGUAGGCAUCUAGGCGGAGUGAUGGUUGUAUGGACAUGGGGGUGAGUCGGGAGACGAUACUUUUUGUUGACCGUAUCCUACAGUGCACUUUAUUGUAUCGUCGCACAUCAUGUAUCACUUCGCCUGCUUGGAUGUUUUUUAACUUGACUUUCGGACAAUAAAAU
ensembl:lncRNA